GAUGAACGCUGGCGGCGUGCCUAAUACAUGCAAGUCGAGCGAACAGACGAGGAGCUUGCUCCUCUGACGUUAGCGGCGGACGGGUGAGUAACACGUGGAUAACCUACCUAUAAGACGGGGAUAACUUCGGGAAACCGGAGCUAAUACCGGAUAAUAUAUUGAAGCGCAUGGGUCAAUAGUGAAAGACGGCUUUGCGGUCACUUAUAGAUGGAUCCGCGCCGCAUUAGCUAGUUGGUAAGGUAAGGGCUUACCAAGGCGACGGUGCGGAGCCGACCUGAGAGGUUGCUCGGCCACACUGGAUCUGACACACGGUCCAAGCUCCUACGGCAGGCAGCCGUAGGGAAUCUUCCGCACUGUGCGAGACCCUGACGGAGCAACGCCACGUGACUGAUGAAGGUCUUCUGAUCGUAGAACUCUGUUAUUUGGGCAGAACACAUGUGUACGUAACUAUGCGCGUCUUGACGGUACCUCAUCAGAAAGCCACGGCUAACUACGUG
rnacentral:rRNA from 1 species